GAGCCAGACUCCUACGGGAGGCAGCAGUGGGGAAUAUUGCACAAUGGGGGAAACCCUGAUGCAGCGACGCCGCGUGAGUGAAGAAGUAUUUCGGUAUGUAAAGCUCUAUCAGCAGGGAAGAAAAUGACGGUACCUGACUAAGAAGCCCCGGCUAACUACGUGCCAGCAGCCGCGGUAAUACGUAGGGGGCAAGCGUUAUCCGGAUUUACCGGGUGUAAAGGGGGCGCAGACGGCAAUGCAAGCCAGGAGUGAAAGCCCGGGGCCCAACCCCGGGACUGCUCUUGGAACUGCAUGGCUGGAGUACAGGAGGGGCAGGCGGAAUUCCUAGUGUAGCGGUGAAAUGCGUAGAUAUUAGGAGGAACACCGGUGGCGAAGGCGGCCUGCUGGACUGUGACUGACGUUGAGGCCCGAAGGCGUGGGGAGCAAACAGGAUUAGAUACCCUUGUACC
rnacentral:rRNA from 1 species